GACGAACGCUGGCGGCGUGCCUAAUACAUGCAAGUUGAGCGCUGAAGGUUGGUACUUGUGCCAACUGGAUGUGCAGCGCACGGGUGAGUAACGCGUGGGGAAUCUGCCUUUGAGCGGGGGACAACAUUUGGAAACGAAUGCUAAUACCGCAUAUAAACUUUAAACACAAGUUUUAAGUUUGAAAGAUGCAAUUGCAUCACUCAAAGAUGAUCCCGCGUUGUAUUAGCUAGUUGGUGAGGUAAAGGCUCACCAAGGCGAUGAUACAUAGCCGACCUGAGAGGGCGAUCGGCCAGAUUGGGACGGAGACACGGCCCAAACUCCUACGGGAGGCAGCAGUAGGGAAUCUUCGGCAAGGGACGAAAGUCUGACCGAGAAACGCCGCGUGAGUGAAGAAGGUUGUCGGAUCGUAGAACUCUGUUGGUAGAGAAGAACGUUGGUGAGAGUGGAAAGCUCAGCAAGUGACGGUAACUACCCAGAAAGGGACGGCUAACUACGUG
rnacentral:rRNA from 1 species